rnacentral:rRNA from 1 species
CUCUAGAGAUUGUAGUCAUAUGCUUGUCUCGCAGAUUAAGCCAUGCAUGUCUAAGUGUAAAUAUUUUACAGUGAAACUGCGGAUGGCUCAUUACAACAGUUAUAGUUUGCUUGGAAUAUUUCUCUACGGAUAUCCGUGGAAAUCCUACAGUUAAUACGUAUCACUUCUCUGAAGUGUUGCAUAUUGCUGUGAACAUCCGGCGAAGGCAACUUCGUCUUUUAUGAACACUUGUAUGCAAGAAUCGUAUGCAAAUACGAAAGUCCAUCAAAGUUUCUGACCCAUCAGGUUCCGACGGUAAGGUAUUGGCUUACCGUGCCGAUAACGGGUAACGGGGGAUUAGGGUUCGAUCCCGGAGAGGGAGCUUGAGAAAUGGCUACCACAUCUAAGGAAGGCAGCAGGCGCGCAAAUUACCUAUCCCUGACACAGGGAGGUAGUAAACAGAAAUAAUGACGCAUGAUUUUAAUCGUGCGAUCGGAAUGAAUGGUUUCUAAACAAAACCAUGAAAUCCAUUGGAGGAAAAGUCUGGUGCCAGCACCCGCGGUAAUACCAGCUCCAAUAGCGUAUAUUAUUGAUGUUGCAGUUGAAACGUUCGUAGUCGAACUUUGUCUGCUUAGGUAUUGUGGUGUCUAUGACAUCUUAAUACUCUCAGCAGAGAGCGUGCAACAAGUAUUGCGCACGUUUCGUGUGUCAAUGCUUAUUGCAUCUUACUUUGAGUGAAUCGGCGUGUUCCACGCAGGCUUGUGCCUUGAACGAUUUACCAUAGCAUAAUCAGAGUAUGAAAAUACCUCCUUGUUUGCUCGGGGGUGUUCUCUAUACUGAUAAGAACGGUUGAGGGCAUUCGUAUUCAACUGCCAGAGGUGAAAUUCUUUGAUUAGUUGAGGACGAACUAUUGCGAAAGCAUCUGCCAAGGACGUUUCUUUUGAUCAAGAACGAAAGUUAGGUGAUCGAAGAUGAUUAGAUACCGUUGUAGUCCUAACCAUAAACUUUACUAUCCAAGAAUUGGAUUGGUGACUUUACGCCUCUCCAGUGCUUUCUGAGAAAUCACAAGUCUUUGAGUUCUGGGGGGAGUAUAGUUGCAAGGCCGAAACUUAAAGGAAUGACGGAAGAAUCGUCGACUGC